GCGGGUGUUCCAACUGUGUGCUUGUGUGUGUGUGCAAAUGUCGCCCGAAUUAUGACGCAUACGAAAGUGCAGGCGCUAAAUAAAACCCGAAAUCGAAAGAAGUUGCAACUGCAAAGCAAAUGCUGAAAAUAAGUUAACAAAAAAUACAAAAAAAAAAAACGGUGGCAGAGCAAGAAGCAGAGUGCGUGCACUCGGCAAUUGCGUUUACUUGUGUGCGUGUGUGUGUGCGAAAUUAUAAAAUUAAACAUCGCGUCGCGCAACGCUGAAAAAAAA